rnacentral:rRNA from 1 species
UACGUAGGGCGCAAGCGUUAUCCGGAAUUAUUGGGCGUAAAGAGCUCGUAGGCGGUUUGUCGCGUCUGCCGUGAAAGUCCGGGGCUCAACUCCGGAUCUGCGGUGGGUACGGGCAGACCAGAGUGAUGUAGGGGAGACUGGAAUUCCUGGUGUAGCGGUGAAAUGCGCAGAUAUCAGGAGGAACACCGAUGGCGAAGGCAGGUCUCUGGGCAUUAACUGACGCUGAGGAGCGAAAAGCAUGGGGGAGCGAACAGG